rnacentral:lncRNA from 1 species
AUAGGCAGCCUAUUAGCCACAGAGGACUUGCACAGCAAAUUGGAAUGAUGAUAGUCAAGCUGUUUAUCAUUCUACGCCAGGCAAUGAUCCUCUUCAUAUGUUAAUAUCCUUAUUGGGCAGAUCAGAUUGUUACUCAGAAAGUUCAGAAGACAAGAAGGCCCAUUUCUGUAGAAUGUCCACAGGCUUCGUGGAGCGCCACCUAUGAGAUAAUAAAUGGUGCUCAGGAAAGAGGCUGGGAGGAGAUGGAAAUCUUUCAUCAUCUGUGGAGCUCCCACAGCAGUUGAAAAUGUGAGCCUUCAUUUUGGAAAGAAGGGAGCCAAACUAAAGCUUGGCUGUGUUGUGACACUUCCUGCCUCAUGCUUGUCACUCUGGAACGUUACCACCUAAUCCUGUAGCCUCCAGGCUCAGUGGCUGCUGAGCUAUUGAAAUACAUCCAAUCCAAACUGUGAUGUGCUAUUGCUGUAUGACCCAGUGGGCCCUGAGGACAUGCUAUGAAGAAGAGAUUGUCACAUGCCUCUUUAGUAAUCUGGAUGUGUAUUGUUAAUAAAACACAUGUUUAAAGAUGAUUUCAUUUAUUUCUUUU